UACGGAGGAUCCGAGCGUUAUCCGGAUUUAUUGGGUUUAAAGGGUGCGUAGGCGGGCUAAUAAGUCAGUGGUGAAAGUUUGCAGCUUAACUGUAAAAUUGCCAUUGAAACUGUUAGUCUUGAGUACAGUAGAGGUAGGCGGAAUGUGUAGUGUAGCGGUGAAAUGCAUAGAUAUUACACAGAACACCAAUUGCGUAGGCAGCUUACUGGAGUGUCACUGACGCUGAGGCACGAUAGCGUGGGGAUCAAACAGG
rnacentral:rRNA from 1 species